CCGAAUACAUUAGCAUGGGAUAAUGGAAUAGGACCCUGUCCUCCUAUUUUCAGUUGGUUUUGGCAGCGCGAGGACUAGGGUAAUGAUUAAUAGGGAUAGUUGGGGGCAUUAAUAUUUAAUUGUCAGAGGUGAAAUUCUUGGAUUUAUGAAAGAUUAACUUCUGCGAAAGCAUCUGCCAAGGAUGUUUUCAUUAAUCAAGAACGAAAGUUAGGGGAUCGAAGACGAUCAGAUACNGUCGUAGUCUUAACCAUAAACGAUGCCGACCAGCGAUUAGGAGACGUUGAAUACAAAACACCACCAUCGGC
rnacentral:rRNA from 1 species